GACGAACGCUGGCGGCGUGCUUAACACAUGCAAGUCGAACGGAAAGGCCCUUCUUUUGUGGGGUGCUCGAGUGGCGAACGGGUGAGUAACACGUGAGUAACCUGCCCUUGACUUUGGGAUAACUUCAGGAAACUGGGGCUAAUACCGGAUAGGAGCUCCUGCUGCAUGGUGGGGGUUGGAAAGUUUCGGCGGUUGGGGAUGGACUCGCGGCUUAUCAGCUUGUUGGUGGGGUAGUGGCUUACCAAGGCUUUGACGGGUAGCCGGCCUGAGAGGGUGACCGGCCACAUUGGGACUGAGAUACGGCCCAGACUCCUACGGGAGGCAGAAGUGGGGAAUAUUGCACAAUGGGCGGAAGCCUGAUGCAGCAACGCCGCGUGCGGGAUGACGGCCUUCGGGUUGUAAACCGCUUUCGCCUGUGACGAAGCGUGAGUGACGGUAAUGGGUAAAGAAGCACCGGCUAACUACGUG
rnacentral:rRNA from 1 species